GCGGGUGUAGUUUAGUGGUAAAACAUUAGCCUUCCAAGCUAAUUAUGAGGGUUCGAUUCCCUUCGCCCGCU
rnacentral:tRNA from 1 species